CGGCGUCGGCGUUGGCGACGCGUCGAUGCGUCUGACCGGGUCUGGGAGAGGGUUCGUGCGUUUAGUUCGGUUUUCGACUCGAGACUCAACGCAACGGCAAACAAAACGCGCGUUUUUUAACACUUGAAAAUAAAUAAAAAUAAUUUCAAAACGCAUUCAAUUGGGAUACGGAAACCGUCGCGGUGAAUAUAUAAUAUACAUUUUGUUAUUUUUAUCUGAAGCUGAACAAUUCUAAGAAAUCAAAGACUAACCCACUCUGAUUUGGAAGCAAUUAACACUUACAGAUUGCAACCUUUGACAAACGUUCAUGAAUGAUAAUUCUAUGGAAUUGAUUGUGUGAUGAAGAAAUAUAUACCAGUUACUUAUUGAUAUCUGUUGAUCACUUGAUUGGUCAAUAUUAUCGCUUAAUACAUAAUAUUGUUUGCAUCUUUUCUGCUCUGUUUAAAAUGUCUGCCAAAUAUUCAAGUGUAAACAAUUAUUGUGGCGCCCUUUUGGGGCCAUUUACUUGUGGCCAUAAAUUGUAUGUAGUUUAAAUAACGAAUUAAACAAAGCUCGGCAUUUAUGAAACUAUUAUAAAAUGCAUUCUACAUAUUUACUUUUGUUGUUAUUCAUUCGUUAAAGGGGAAUUCGGGUUCGUUUAUGGCUAAAGGCCAUUCAAUUAAUUAUUCAGUAUAUAUUAAAGAAAACAUUGAAUGUCAUUUUCAAAACUUUUCAUUUCUACGAGCCAAAUGCAAUUAAACUCUAUGCUUUAGAGAAUCUCUCACGUCCACAUUUAUUUUGUGCAACCAAAAAGAAAAUUAAAAUCACGCUCGAUUAGCCAAACAAAUGCUAAAACUAAUUUUUUGCCGCCUCAAAACUAGUUUGCUGGCAAAAAUUACUUUUCAUUGGAAUUUCGUUUCGUGUGGUUCUAGUUUCUAUAUAUGUGCGUAAAUUGCAAACUAAUUGAUUUAUAAUUAAUUGUUGGUGCUUUUCAUCGCACAGUCUCAGCAGUAGGGAAAGCUACAAACUAUCAAUUCUGGCCCAAAUCACAAAAACGACGCCAAUCUGUCUCUCAGACGCGUCGUACUUGAAAAUUUUUAAUUAUUUGAUUUAUGUUUUUCAUGCUCAGCAAAAUGCUUCUAUAGGGUAUAUAUUUGUUGUUGCGAAUGCUAAGUAUUUACUCUGAUUUAUUGUGCGGACGGAAAUUCAACUUGAUUAUUGCGUGCAACUCGGCCAAUGUAACUCAGAAAAAGAAUAUGCGUUCUUCGUAAUCUACGAUAUUAUCAUUAAAAAUUAAAUAAAUCUGUAUUAACAAUUUCUAAGCAUUUUAACGUACUUACAUAUUUCAAGUAUACUUAUUUUGUUAAGAGAUUUAUUUUAAUCGUAAUAUAAAAAAUAUAAAAGUAUUAUAACUCUCACAUAUGGAACAAUAAAUAAAAUUGUUAUAAGAAGUGCUAUUAAAUGGGUUCCCAAAUUCAUAAUAUAUACCACAUCUUUUUUCUUGAAUAUUUUCUCAAAACCACAUAUUUAUUUUUCUUGCUUUUUGCCGACUUCGUUUACAUUAGAAAAAAUGUUGAACAUGCCGAGUUGAAUGGAUUGACUUAGACGUCCAACUCAUAAGUAAAUAAAGCAAUUAGAGUCGGUAAUUAAACGCUAGCGAUUUUAUUGAGGCAGUCAAACUGAUUUUGUGUUACGCUCAGAAAAUCCAUUUAUUUAUAAAUACUUGUGCAGCUACCUAUUCCUAUAAACUUGAUAUGCUCUCAGAUAAUAACGACAAUUGUGUAAAUAAUGUGGUCAUUGAACUACAUAUCAUUAUCUAUAAAGGAGUUUGUACUCAGAGAGUGUAAGAGCUAGAAUGCUCAAGUUUUUCCUGAUACUUCCUUUUCGGCCGAAAGUGAUCUAGUGAUUGAAAAAAUCAGCCUCCAAGUGGGGAGAACCGGUUUGUAUCAACAACCAAGCAGUCAUUUCUGUGCCUUGCGAACAUCAGGAGCCUGAGAGGCUGUAGUGUUUAAGCGUCGGGCUAACGAAAAGGGGGUCGCUUGUUCCAACCCAGCAUCCAACCGAGUUCAUCUUAGUUUAAUGAAAAGUUUUGCUAGACGAAAAAAAAUGUUAUACAGCUACAAUUAGUGAGCACAAUUAUUUUAGUGUUUUUAUGUGCCACUUCCAUCGAACUUUUGUUAUUUUAAUUGCUCCGGUCAACUUACUAGUGCGCAUUGCGGCACACAAUAAUACAUAUUUGCAAUAAGCUAAAAAUAACAUAAAAAAAGUGAAGCUCAUAUUUCACACAAAAGGCCAACGGCAGCAACAACAAUUUGCUUAAGCAGCAAUCCCAACCAAAACAAAAAUAUUAGCCAACAAAUAAAGACAGUAGUAAUGGCUGGGGAAUGCUAAAAAAAGAGCCUGAAUGACCAUAGAAUGCCGCUCAAAUUACUUUAAAAAACACAGACAAACAAACCUUUAAAAAUAUUCAUAAAAAAUUCGAGUUUUCCAAGAGACUCGACAAAGUCCUUGAUUCUGUUGAAGCUAUUCCAUUUGCUGUGCGUAUUUUACGUUAGUUUCAGAAAUGGGGGAAAGGUGUAUUACAGACGGCCAAAAGGGGCUGGUCGAAAUCAAGUAAACGAAUUAUAAGGUGUGUGAAUUUGGCAUUUGGCAGGCAAAGAUGAAACAAAUAGACUAAAAUAAACAUAUAUGAAUUUGAAUAAGUGGGUUCGCCUGCACAUUUGAGUCAUGAUGGAUCGCUAGGUGAGAAUCUUAUAUUAUAAACUCAUAAUUCAUAAUCAUUGUGCGAACAACAAUUAAAACGCAGCUCAGCUGUCAAUAACUGUCCGCAGCUUUAACGGCACACAAACAAGCCAACACUAAUGACCGCUGACCACGGGCAGCUUUCCGCCCGCUGUGCGGCUGCCCGGCGGUCGAUCUGGUAAUCCACGGCACGUGUAAGCUCUUAAGAUCUGCUUCGUUCCAAAAAAAAAAUAAAGAAAACAAAAUAUAAAAAUAAAAUAAAAGACCCAAGACCAUAGAAAA